GGGAUAACUAUUGGAAACGAUAGCUAAUACCGCAUAAUAUUAAUUAUUGCAUGAUAAUUGAUUGAAAGAUGCAAGCGCAUCACUAGUAGAUGGACCUGCGUUGUAUUAGCUAGUUGGUAAGGUAAGAGCUUACCAAGGCGACGAUACAUAGCCGACCUGAGAGGGUGAUCGGCCACACUGGGACUGAGACACGGCCCAGACUCCUACGGGAGGCAGCAGUAGGGAAUCUUCGGCAAUGGACGAAAGUCUGACCGAGCAACGCCGCGUGAGUGAAGAAGGUUUUCGGAUCGUAAAGCUCUGUUGUAAGUCAAGAACGUGUGCGAGAGUGGAAAGUUCACACAGUGACGGUAGCUUACCAGAAAGGGACGGCUAACUACGUGCCAGCAGCCGCGGUAAUACGUAGGUCCCGAGCGUUGUCCGGAUUUAUUGGGCGUAAAGGGAGCGCAGGCGGUCAGGAAAGUCUGGAGUAAAAGGCUAUGGCUCAACCAUAGUGUGCUCUGGAAACUGUCUGACUUGAGUGCAGAAGGGGAGAGUGGAAUUCCAUGUGUAGCGGUGAAAUGCGUAGAUAUAUGGAGGAACACCAGUGGCGAAAGCGGCUCUCUGGUCUGUCACUGACGCUGAGGCUCGAAAGCGUGGGUAGCGAACAGGAUUAGAUACCCUGGUAGUCCACGCCGUAAACGAUGAGU
rnacentral:rRNA from 1 species